CCCUUAGACGUUCUGGGCCGCACGCGCGCUACACUGACCAGUGCAACAAGCAUCCGUCCUUGGCCGACAGGCCCGGGCAAUCUUUGAACGCUGGUCGUGAUGGGGAUAGACUUUUGCAAUUUUUGGUCUUCAACGAGGAAUUCCUAGUAAACGCAAGUCAUCAACUUGCAUUGAUUACGUCCCUGCCCUUUGUACACACCGCCCGUCGCACCUACCGAGUGAAUGGUCCGGUGAAGCCUCCGGAUUGGCGCGCACCUCGGUGCCGCCGAGAAGUUGGCUAAACCUUACCAUUUAGAGGAAGGUGAAGUCGUAACA
rnacentral:rRNA from 1 species